rnacentral:tRNA from 1 species
ACGGGGGUAGCCUAACGGCAGAGGCAUGGGACUUAAAAUCCUUACAGUGAUGGGUUCGAAUCCCUCCCUCCGUACCA